ACGCGCCACACGACCCGUCCUCUCCGCCAGCCAAGCGGAGCCCGGGCGUCUUCAGAUCCCGGCUGCCCAUUUCCGGCCGCGGCGGGGUCCCUCUGCCCGCCCCUCUCCUCCACCCGCCGUCCCAGAAACCAGAGGCCUCCCUCUCCUCCCGCUCCCGUUUUCUUUCCUUUCCCCGCGGUCUUGGACUGGGCUCCCGCCUUCUCCCUCCCUGGUAAUCCCACUCCUGCCGCACCCGAGAGGAGGGAAGGGGGCACAGGCACUCUCCUCAGAACGACGCGGAAGGGUCAGCGGUCGCGUCCUCCUGCCCCCCGGGGAUCUGGCUGGUGCUAUGUGGUGUGACUCUUUCUUGUGAUACAGGGCAGUGGCUGUGAGAUGCAGCUCCUGCUUAGCCCUGAGAUCACAAGGAUACACCACAGAUACCCUGCAUUAGCUGCAUUGCUGGCAUUUUCUGGAUACAGCUCACUACGGACACCACCACCCUCGUCACAUGCCAGACCAGUGGGGCUGCCUGCUCUUGGACUGCGAACCUUCAAAACGUAAGCCCCUCUCAGGUGUGUGUUAUAGGGAAGAAAAGCUGACGAGAUUCCAGAAAAGCGGGUCCUACAGUUGCAUUGGAGAGGCGCUGUAUCAGAGCAGAAGGAGAGCAAGGUCCUUGGAGAAGGAAAUCCGUUCCUGGGCUUUUACAGGAGUCUGGGCGCCACUGUGCAGCGCGGAGCCAGGGCGAGGAUAGUGAGUGUUUGAGAGAUGCUCACAGGUCCCAGUCCCCACAAGGAGGCCAUGAUGCACUGAGUUUCCACUAGUAACAUGUCUGCCUCCUUAGACUCUUUCACCUUAUCCGUCUUCCCAUAAUAUAUUUCACAGCUGAUCUCCUCUUCUUAGGAAAAUGAUUGAAUUCAUAUUUGUAAUAUGAGUACAUGAACUGUGAAAAUUGCUGUUACCAGUAUUUUCUUAGGGCCACACCAGCGAAAUGGCUACAGGGCUUGUCUUCUUGAC